rnacentral:tRNA from 1 species
GCGGGUAUAGUCUAGCCUGGUAGGACACAAGCUUGCCAAGCUUGUAGCUCGGGUUCAAAUCCCGGUGCCCGCA